rnacentral:rRNA from 1 species
UACGAAGGGGGCUAGCGUUGUUCGGGUUUACUGGGCGUAAAGCGCACGUAGGCGGAUCGUUAAGUCGGGGGUGAAAUCCUGGAGCUCAACUCCAGAACUGCCUUCGAUACUGGCGAUCUUGAGUCCGGAAGAGGUGAGUGGAACUCCUAGUGUAGAGGUGGAAUUCGUAGAUAUUAGGAAGAACACCAGUGGCGAAGGCGGCUCACUGGUCCGGUACUGACGCUGAGGUGCGAAAGCGUGGGGAGCAAACCGG